GCAGAACGCGAAGAACCUUACCAGGGCUUAAAUGUAGAUUGACAGGUUUAGAGAUAGACUUUUCUUCGGACACUUUACAAGGUGCUGCAUGGUUGUCGUCAGCUCGUGCCGUGAGGUGUCAGGUUAAGUCCUAUAACGAGCGCAACCCCUGUUGUUAGUUGCCAGCGAGUAAUGUCGGGAACUCUAACAAGACUGCCGGUGCAAACCGUGAGGAAGGUGGGGAUGACGUCAAAUCAUCACGGCCCUUACGUCCUGGGCUACACACGUGCUACAAUGGCCGGUACAGAGAGCAGCCACCUCGCGAGGGGGAGCGAAUCUAUAAAGCCGGUCACAGUUCGGAUUGGAGUCUGCAACCCGACUCCAUGAAGCUGGAAUCGCUAGUAAUCGGAUAUCAGCCAUGAUCCGGUGAAUACGUUCCCGGGUCUUGUACACACCG
rnacentral:rRNA from 1 species